rnacentral:rRNA from 1 species
CAGCCGCCACGGUAAUACGAAGGGUGCAAGCGUUACUCGGAAUUACUGGGCGUAAAGCGUGCGUAGGUGGUGGUUUAAGUCCGUUGUGAAAGCCCUGGGCUCAACCUGGGAAUUGCAGUGGAUACUGGCUCGCUAGAGUGUGUCAGAGGAUGGUGGAAUUCCCGGUGUAGCGGUGAAAUGCGUAGAGAUCGGGAGGAACAUCAGUGGCGAAGGCGGCCAUCUGGGACAACACUGACGCUGAGGCACGAAAGCGUGGGGAGCAAACAGGAUUAGAUACCCGCGUAGUCCCUGUCUCUUAUAC